AACGAACGCUGGCGGCAUGCCUAACACAUGCAAGUCGAACGAAGGCUUCGGCCUUAGUGGCGCACGGGUGCGUAACGCGUGGGAAUCUGCCCUUAGGUUCGGAAUAACAGUUAGAAAUGACUGCUAAUACCGGAUGAUGACGUAAGUCCAAAGAUUUAUCGCCUGAGGAUGAGCCCGCGUAGGAUUAACUAGUUGGUGUGGUAAAGGCGCACCAAGGCGACGAUCCUUAGCUGGUCUGAGAGGAUGAUCAGCCACACUGGGACUGAGACACGGCCCAGACUCCUACGGGAGGCAGCAGUGGGGAAUAUUGGACAAUGGGCGCAAGCCUGAUCCAGCAAUGCCGCGUGAGUGAUGAAGGCCUUAGGGUUGUAAAGCUCUUUUACCCGUGAUGAUAAUGACAGUAGCGGGAGAAUAAGCCCCGGCUAACUCCGUG
rnacentral:rRNA from 1 species